UGAGGAAUAUUGGACAAUGGGGGAAACCCUGAUCCAGCCAUGCCGCGUGAGUGAAGAAGGCUUUCGGGUUGUAAAGCUCUUUCAGCGGGGAGGAUGAUGACUGUACCCGCAGAAGAAGCCCCGGCUAACUCCGUGCCAGCAGCCGCGGUAAUACGGAGGGGGCUAGCGUUGUUCGGAAUUACUGGGCGUAAAGCGCGCGUAGGCGGUGUGCAUAGUCAGAGGUGAAAGCCCGGGGCUCAACUCCGGAACUGCCUUUGAUACUGGCACGCUAGAAUCCGUGAGAGGGUAGUGGAAUUCCUAGUGUAGAGGUGAAAUUCGUAGAUAUUAGGAAGAACACCAGUGGCGAAGGCGACUACCUGGCACGGUAUUGACGCUGAGGUGCGAAAGCGUGGGGAGCGAACAGGAUUAGAUACCCCUGUAGUCC
rnacentral:rRNA from 1 species